GUCCAAGGAGCCUGAGCCUGCAGGGCAGCGAGGAAGAGGGGUCUUCAGCUUCCGAACCCAGUUUCGGCCUGCCCUGCCCUCCUGGUCUCUAACCUCCAGGGUGAGACUGCAGACACAAUUCCCAGUCUCAAAGUUGAGGACCUCACCUGUCACAAGCAGUUCCAGCGUAUCACUCGGGUGGGACCAGACACCCAGACUCCAGCCUAGCCUCCGGUAGCAGCAGUGGUAACUGCCCCCCUGGGCUGGGGUCACCUCCUCCAGGAAGAACUCUGCCAGCUCCAUGGACACGCCCCGGUACAGCACAGGGAUGAUCCUUCCAGACUUGAAGAGUGCAAACCUCCAGGCAGGUUGAGGUGCCCGGCAACUCAAGGUCACGUUGACCC